GACGAACGCUGGCGGCGUGCCUAACACACGCAAGUCGAGCGGAGAAAUUAAAGCUUGCUUUAAUUUCUUAGCGGCGGACGGGUGAGUAACACGUGGGCAACCUGCCCUUGAGAGGGGGAUAACACAGAGAAAUUUGUGCUAAUACCGCAUAACAUUUAGACUUCGCCUGGAGUUUAAAUCAAAGGAGUAAUCCGCUCAAGGAUGGGCCCGCGGCGCAUUAGCUAGUUGGUGAGGUAAUGGCUCACCAAGGCGACGAUGCGUAGCCGACCUGAGAGGGUGAUCGGCCACAUUGGAACUGAGACACGGUCCAGACUCCUACGGGAGGCAGCAGUGGGGAAUAUUGCGCAAUGGGGGAAACCCUGACGCAGCAACGCCGCGUGAGCGAUGAAGGCCUUCGGGUUGUAAAGCUCUGUCUUUGGGGACGAUAAUGACGGUACCCAAGGAGGAAGCCACGGCUAACUACGUGCCAGCCGCCGCGGUAAAAC
rnacentral:rRNA from 1 species